CUACGGGGGGCAGCAGUGGGGAAUAUUGCACAAUGGGGGAAACCCUGAUGCAGCAACGCCGCGUGGAGGAUGACACAUUUCGGUGCGUAAACUCCUUUUAUAGGUCAAGAUAAUGACGGUAGCCUAUGAAUAAGCGCCGGCUAACUCCGUGCCAGCAGCCGCGGUAAUACGGAGGGCGCAAGCGUUACUCGGAAUCACUGGGCGUAAAGAGCAUGUAGGCGGGUUAAUAAGUCAGAAGUGAAAUCCAAUAGCUUAACUAUUGAACUGCUUUUGAAACUGUUAACCUAGAGUGUGGGAGAGGUAGAUGGAAUUUCUGGUGUAGGGGUAAAAUCCGUAGAGAUCAGAAGGAAUACCGAUUGCGAAGGCGAUCUACUGGAACAUUACUGACGCUGAGAUGCGAAAGCGUGGGGAGCAAACAGGAUUAGAUACCCCGUAGUC
rnacentral:rRNA from 1 species